AUGGGCGCAAGCCUGAUCCAGCCAUGCCGCGUGAGUGAUGAAGGCCCUAGGGUUGUAAAGCUCUUUCAACGGUGAAGAUAAUGACGGUAGCCGUAGAAGAAGCCCCGGCUAACUUCGUGCCAGCAGCCGCGGUAAUACGAAGGGGGCUAGCGUUGUUCGGAAUUACUGGGCGUAAAGCGCGCGUAGGCGGACAUUUAAGUCAGGGGUGAAAUCCCGGGGCUCAACCCCGGAACUGCCUUUGAUACUGGGUGUCUAGAGUCCGGAAGAGGUGAGUGGAAUUGCGAGUGUAGAGGUGAAAUUCGUAGAUAUUCGCAGGAACACCAGUGGCGAAGGCGGCUCACUGGUCCGGUACUGACGCUGAGGUGCGAAAGCGUGGGGAGCAAGCAGGAUUAGAUACCCUGGUAGUCCACGCCGUAAACGAUGAAUGCUAGCCGUCGGGCAGUAUACUGUUCGGUGGCGCAGUUAACGCAUUAAGCAUUCCGCCUG
rnacentral:rRNA from 1 species